AGCAAUGAAUGGAAUGGAAUGGAGCAAUGGAAUGAAGAUUGAUGCGUCCUGGCACAGUGGUUCUUUUGGAGGGGGAUGGCUAUCUGGUUUGGAGUCCUGGCUGCCAUGAGUUUCCUGGCCCUGUGGUUCCUACCUGAGAGCCCACAUUGGCUGGCCACUUACAGAGAGGAGGAGGGAGGAUCUAUUGAGGCAGCAGUCAGGUGGCUGAACAGGCACCCUCAGCGUUGUCAGGAAGAGCUGAAGACACUAAUGGAAACAACGCAUCAACAGAGACAGAGGAAUAAAAGUGAAGGGUUCAGAUUUUUUCCCCCAACUCCAUAUUGGUCCCCUCCGUAUUAAAACCAGUCAUCAUAUUGUUCUUCAUUUUCCUGUUCCAACAAUUAUCGGAGGUUAUGUUAUCAUAUUUUAUGCCGUCCAUGUUUUUAAGAUGGUUGGAGGAAAUUUUGGAUCAGGAUUUGAUGAAUACGACGCACUUGAUUUUCUGGGAUUAAUAAGAUUUAUAAUGAGUAUUGUUGCAGCAAUAGCUUCCUGUAGAUUUGGUCAUUGGCCAUUGAAUAUAUUGUCAGGACUAGGGAUGUGCAUUACAACAUUAAUUGUAGGUAUUUACUUGCACAUAAACCCUGUUGAAUAUACUGGAGUCUUUAUAAACUCAGAAAACAGCACAGAAGUUGUAGUUACCACAGAAACAGAACAUUGGACAUGUGUACUGUGUGUGUUAUUAUAUGUGUGCUUCUGUUCCCUAGGGAUUCUUGUGAUUCCAUGGACUCUGAUAGGAGAACUCCUACCAAUAAAAGUUUGCGGUAUUGGUGGUGGUUUCAUGGUUGGAAUUGCAUACAUUUUGAUGUUUGGUGUUCUAAAAACUUUCCCUUUUGCAUUGCAUAUUACUGGGGCUGAAGGAAUUUUCUUCUUUUUCAGUUUCAUAUCAUUGGCUGAUGUUGCAUUUGUGUAUAUAUUCUUACCUGAAACAUUGGGGAAAACUCUGCAGGAAAUAGAAGAUUAUUUCAAAUAAUUAUGGAUGUUUAAUAAUUAUAUCAUUGCAGUUCUUGUAUCAAAAAUGACAAGGUUAGUUGUCCAGCUGACGUAAGUUGCUCUGAAUAACAUAAUAUUCUCUACU